GCCUGGCUAGCUCAGUUGAUAAAGCAUCAGACUUUUAAUCUGAGCGUCCAGGGUUCAGGUCCCUGGUCAGGUG
rnacentral:tRNA from 1 species